rnacentral:siRNA from 1 species
GAUAGAUUGGGUUUGCUGGUUGCU